UUCCUUAAAGUGGGGAGUAGCCAGAGAAAUUGGAUUAAUACCCGUAACAUUAUGAGAUGGCAUCAUUUUAUAAUUAAAGCUCCGGCGCUUAAAGAUGGGUGUGCGGCUGAUUAGGUAGUUGGUGAGGGUAACGGCCCACCAAGCCUUCGAUCAGUAACUGGUGUGAGAGCACGACCAGUCACACGGGCACUGAGACACGGGCCCG
rnacentral:rRNA from 1 species